GACGAACCGUCCUAACGUUGUUCGGAAUCACUGGGCUUAAAGGGCGCGUAGGCGGGCCAUCCAGUCCGGGGUGAAAUCUUUCGGCUUAACCGGAAAACAGCCUUGGAUACUGAUGGUCUCGAGGGAGGUAGGGGCCUGUGGAACUUCCGGUGGAGCGGUGAAAUGCGUUGAUAUCGGAAGGAACGCCGGUGGCGAAAGCGACGGGCUGGACCUCUUCUGACGCUGAGGCGCGAAAGCUAGGGGAGCAAACGGG
rnacentral:rRNA from 1 species